AGAGUUUGAUUCUGGCUCAGGGUGAACGCUAGCGGCGUGCCUAAUACAUGCAAGUCGAGCGAUCUUUAUUUAUAGAGAUAGCGGCGAACGGGUGAGUAACACGUUGGAACCUACCCUUUAGUGAGGGAUAACUUCGAGAAAUCGGAGCUAAUACCGCAUAUGUCCAGUUUACUGGGUAAAGACUUCGGUCGCUAAGGGAGGGGCCCGCGUCCUAUCAGCUUGUUGGUGAGGUAAAGGCUCACCAAGGCUAUGACGGGUAGUUGGUCUGAGAGGAUGAUCAGCCACAAUGGGACUGAGACACGGCCCAUACUCCUACGGGAGGCAGCAGUAAGGAAUCUUCCGCAAUGCCCGAAAGGGUGACGGAGCAACGCCGCGUGCGGGAUGAAGCUCGGAAGAGUGUAAACCGUUUUUCUGAGGGAGCAAGUUCUGAGUUAACCUCAGGAAUAAGUACCGGCUAACUACGUGCCAGCAGCAGCGGUAAUACGUAGGGUGCAAGCGUUACCCGGAAUCACUGGGCGUAAAGCGUCCGCAGGCGGUUUUUUUAAGUCUAACAUGAAAGCCCGGAGCCCAACUCCGGAUCCGUGUUAGAAACUGGAAAACUAGAGAUAUGCAGGGGCUAGUGGAAUGCGAUGUGUAGGGGUAAAAUCCGUUGAUAUAUCGUAGAACACCAAAAGCGAAGGCAGCUAGCUGGGCAUAUUCUGACGCUCAGGGACGAAAGCGUGGGUAGCGAACGGGAUUAGAUACCCCGGUAGUCCACGCCGUAAACGAUGGAUACUCGGUGUUUUCACUUUGUGAGAGUGCCUUAGGUAACCCGUUAAGUAUCCCGCCUGGGAACUACGAGCGCAAGCUUAAAACUCAAAGAAAUAGACGGGGGCUCGCACAAGCGGUGGAGCAUGUGGUUUAAUUCGACAAUAAGCGGGGAACCUUACCUGGGCUUGACAUCCCUAGAAUCUCGAGGAAACUUGAGAGUGCCGCAAGGAACUAGGUGACAGGUGCUGCAUGGUUGUCGUCAGCUCGUGCCUUGAGGUGUCCUGUUAAGUCAGCAAACGAGCGCAACCCUUGCCUCUAUCUGUAAUUUAUAGAGGGACUGCCGGCUAUAAGUCGGAGGAAGGUAAGGAUGACGUCAAAUCAGCAUGGCCCUUGUGCCCAGGGCGACACACGUGCUACAAUGGCCAGUACAAAGGGUAGCCAAGUCGCAAGACGGAGCCAAUCCUAUCAAAGCUGGUCUCAGUUCGGAUUGAGGUCUGCAACUCGACCUCAUGAAGUUGGAAUCGCUAGUAACCGUAAAUCAGCCAUAUUACGGUGAAUAUGUUCCCGAGCCUUGUACUCACCGCCCGUCACACUAUGAAAGGUAGGGGCACCCAACGUCGGCUUAUCUUAUUUAGAGGCUGCCUAAGGUGAAACUACUGAUUGGAGUGAAGUCGUAACAAGGUA
rnacentral:rRNA from 1 species